GCUUCAUCUUAGAAAACCGUGCAAAAAACGGAGCGUAAAAGCAAAGGAGGAGCAGAGCGGGAACGUAUAAAAAAGAGAAAAGCCCUGGCCACAGACGCAUUAAGUUGAUGCAAAAUCCCAGCCAUGUUCACCAGUAAGGGAGCAGGGUUUAAUCUCGUCGGGUUCCUGAUCACCAUGUUGGGGGUUAUUCUGCGAAAACAACAGGCUGGAUGUACAUUAUAUCUUACUUAACACACAAGACAUAUUCAACAGAGCAACGAAUCGACGAGUCACCAUGGAAAUGGACAAAAGAACAAUUCAGAUGUGUGCUGCACAUUUUAUGGAGGAUGAGGACUGUUUCCUGAACCAGUAGCCUGCAAUGCGUCUGUGGCACAACGGCUGUUUCUAUAAAGUUGGACAGUUCAAACUUUGGACAGUCUGGGGCUUCUGACUCACAGCCUGUAGCUGGGGAGCAGGGGAGACUGGGAGGAAGUGUGCUUAAAGGGAAAUCCACUCUGCUUUUGCCGCAGAAGUCACAGACUCAGGCUGGCUGACGGAAUGGCAGGACAAAGCAGACAUCCAGAGCGUGUCCCUUACCAUGGCAAUUGCAGCAACUUUGCGCACUCCGUGUCAUCUUAUUUGGGAGUGCAGCAUGGUGUGACAGAAGAAAGAUGAGUGUCUGAGCACGAUGGAAAUGGAGUGGGAGUGUUGGGGAGCUGGAUAAGAUGGAAGUGGCUGAGAGGAGACAAAAAUAAAACCCAAUUUCAACAAUAGCUCAAACCCCUGCCUCAGUGUCUACAGGAAGACGAGCCAGCGCACCAUCAGCAAGUCCUGGAAUUUUGUAUUCCGCUGUAGGGAGUUUUUUUAAGCUUUAUUUUUCACAGACGUCCUUGAAAAUAAGGCAGGGCGACUAAACAGUUGUGGCACUUAAAAAAAGUAUUUCUGGGAGAAAAAAAAGAAGUGAACCACCUGAAACCUAUGGACACUAACCGCUAAUUUUGUCCCUCUUCUUCUUCUUUUUUAGAGGCUACAGUGAGGUGGGAGCUUACAAUGGAAAUGAAUGUUGUUGGUUUUUAGAAGGUUUAAAUGCAGAAUAGCAAAGCUUGUAAUUGUAAAAUCACUUACAUUGUUAUUAUUUAAAGUUAUGUAUUAUUUCAGCUGCAAAGUUUUUCUUGUCAGUUUUAUGAUCAUUUAAGGUACAGUAGUACGCUGUCAUGGCAACAGUGUUGUAAAAUGAAAUAAAAUUUUACAUGGAAAAAUCUGGAAAGCUUUUAUAUAUUUUAUAUUUGCCACACUAAAAUCAUAUUAAUGCAC
ensembl:lncRNA